GCCGUCUCGCCCGUCCCGCCCGCACUCGCACGUCCCACCUCCUCCUCUCCCUCUCUCGAUCUCCUCUGUGAACCCUAACCCCGCGCUCGCACGCUCGCCCUCUCGCCUCCGCCUCUGCUCAUCCUCGCGUUGCUGCCUCCGCCUCUGCUAGCCCUCGCGCCGCCGCCACCGCCUCUGCCUCUGCUCGCCCUCGCGCCGCCGCCUCCGCCUCUGCUCGCCCUCGCGCCGACGCCUCCACCUCUGCUCGCCCUCGCGCCGUCGGGCCGUUUCCUCCUCCACGCCCCCUUGGUGCUCAUUAGGAAAAGCGCGGCUCGGCGUCGGCCCUCGCGAGUGAGGUAGGACGCGCGCAGGAGGGAGCGGCGGAGCAAGGUGGGGCCGGUCGAGGUCUCUGUCAAUCUGCUGUUGUGGUCAUCGAUUUGCAGAUUUGUCGGGUGUUGCCGGUGCCUCCUUUGAUCUGACCCGGUUGCGUCUUCGUUCAUGGAUCUGAGGUUAACCCCUCUUCUUCUCCUCCUUUUGUCCUCUCGUGUUAGAGUGCUAGGUAUACGGCGGCAUGGCCAAGUGUUGUGUGUUUGGCCAGCAUGGGCCAUUUGUUGUUUGUCCUGCAUCUGGUAAAGGCCAAAGGUCUUUUCCUCUUUGUCUGGUCUGGUAGUGCCUGCAAUUGGUGCUUCUUCCCUGGUGGAGUAUUUGUGUUUUGUUGCUUUUAGUCUAGCUAGGUUCCAAGGAAGGGACAUUUAGGCUUUUCUUGUUUUGCUGGUACGAGGAGACAUGGCCGGAAGCACCAGCGAACUACACCAAUAGUAUCUCUCGUUAGCUCACAAACAUCUUUGUGAAGUACUACCUCCGUAGUAUACUCUACUUUCAAUCUUGUACUUGUAACCUAUUUUGUCCUUCCCUUCUUCACAGUUUGGGAGAGAUACAACAGAGAAGACCACCAGAGAAACGGUCGUCCCGAACCCAGACUAUCAUUGCUAUACUUGGUGAGCUCUAGAGGGAUAUCUGGUUUGUUUAUGUCUUGGAUUGGAGCAGCGACGCAAGUAGGGAGAGAUCGUUGCCUGGACUGCUUCUACUCUCAUCAUCGUGGCUUGCAGGUCGCCACCGUCACAAAUGUUACUUUUCAUUUACAUUCACAUGAUGUUGUAGUGUUCCAGGCAUGAAAACGAUAAAAUAUUGUGGCCGGCUGCCACCGACCGACUCGAGCUCGCUUCAGCCUCCUCCUACGAUCCUGCAGCUACUACCUCCCCAAGCAAAGUCAACCUACAGCAACAAGGAUUACAAAAAGGUGUGGAGGCCGGCUCUCUCGGUUCACUCAAGAGUACCUUUGUUCUGCUGUAGCUCAAAACGUAGAUGCCAGAGCCACGACGCGAGUGCGUCUGCUUCCCGUUAGGAGAACAUGGUUUGAUGAAAGGAGGGUGAUGGAUGCGCCAUGGGGCAAGUCACCUGGAUUGUGUCGUGUUGGGAGGGUGAUGGAUGUGCCAUGGGGCAAGUCCGUCUGAUGAAUGGUGUGGACGGAAGAGCGACAAUAACUAUGAGGUUGGUCAAAGGUUGAAAGAAAUCUCUUAUGUGUCUUCGGUCUCGACACCACGUGUAGGUAGCCGUCAUUGAUAAUACAAACUUUGAAAAGUUUGUUUCAAGGUUCAUAACUCUGUUGUCAAUGGGGAAAAUGUUAUCUGUUUCAAGUGACAAAACAAACUACUCAUAGCAGGUUCAUGUGAUGUGGCGUAUAAAAGGUCGAACGUCAAGACGAUCAGGUGGAUGUAUCCAAAAAUAUGCUUUUGUGGAACUAUAAGUUCUUUGUCUCACACUGCUGUUGUGGCUUUCUUUUCCUGUAUGAAAAGUACACUAUCUAUAUCAAACUUGAUGUGGAUUGAUCGACCUUGCUCGCUUUUGGCACAAGUAUAUAUUUCCAUUUCCUA